UACGUAGGUGACAAGCGUUGUCCGGAUUUACUGGGCGUAAAGAGCGCGCAGGCGGUCGUUCAAGUCGAGUGUGAAAGCCCCCGGCUCAACUGGGGAGGGUCAUUCGAUACUGAUCGACUCGAAGGCAGGAGAGGGAAGUGGAAUUCCCGGUGUAGUGGUGAAAUGCGUAGAUAUCGGGAGGAACAUCAGUGGCGAAGGCGGCCAUCUGGGACAACACUGACGCUGAAGCACGAAAGCGUGGGGAGCAAACAGG
rnacentral:rRNA from 1 species